rnacentral:rRNA from 1 species
CCUACGGGUGGCAGCAGUGAGGAAUAUUGGUCAAUGGACGAGAGUCUGAACCAGCCAAGUAGCGUGAAGGAUGACUGCCCUAUGGGUUGUAAACUUCUUUUAUAUGGGAAUAAAAUGUUCCACGUGUGGGAUUUUGUAUGUACCAUAUGAAUAAGGAUCGGCUAACUCCGUGCCAUCAGCCGCGGUAAUACGGAGGAUCCGAGCGUUAUCCGGAUUUUUUGGGUUUAAAGGGAGCGUAGGUGGAUUGUUAAGUCAGUUGUGAAAGUUUGCGGCUCAACCGUAAAAUUGCAGUUGAAACUGGCAGUCUUGAGUACAGUAGAGGUGGGCGGAAUGCGUGGUGUAGCGGUGAAAUGCUUAGAUAUCACGAAGAACUCCGAUUGCGAAGGCAGCUCACUGGACUGCAACUGACACUGAGGCUCGAAAGUGUGGGUAUCAAACAGGAUUAGAUACCCCAGUAGUC